rnacentral:rRNA from 1 species
AGAACGAACGCUGGCGGCAGGCUUAACACAUGCAAGUCGAGCGCCCAGCAAUGGGAGCGGCGGACGGGUGAGUAACACGUGGGAACAUGCCUUUCGGUACGGAACAACUUCGGGAAACUGAAGCUAAUGCCGUAUACGCCCUUACGGGGAAAGAUUUAUCGCCGAAAGAUUGGCCCGCGUCUGAUUAGCUAGUUGGUGAGGUAACGGCUCACCAAGGCUUCGAUCAGUAGCUGGUUUGAGAGAACGACCAGCCACACUGGGACUGAGACACGGCCCAGACUCCUACGGGAGGCAGCAGUGGGGGAAUCUUGGACAAUGGAGGAAACUCUGAUCCAGCCAUGCCGCGUGAGUGAUGAAGGCCUUCGGGUUGUAAAACUCUUUUACCCGGGAAGAUAAUGACUGUACCGGGAGAAUAAGCUCCGGCUAACUUCGCGCCAGCAGCGC